rnacentral:rRNA from 1 species
UUUCCUACGGGACGCAGCAGUGGGGAAUUUUCCGCAAUGGGCGAAAGCCUGACGGAGCAAUGCCGCGUGAAGGUAGAAGGCCUACGGGUCAUGAACUUCUUUUCCCGGAGAAGAAGCAAUGACGGUAUCCGGGGAAUAAGCAUCGGCUAACUCUGUGCCAGCAGCCGCGGUAAGACAGAGGAUGCAAGCGUUAUCCGGAAUGAUUGGGCGUAAAGCGUCUGUAGGUGGCUUUUUAAGUUCGCCGUCAAAUCCCAGGGCUCAACCCUGGACAGGCGGUGGAAACUACCAAGCCGGAGUACGGUAGG